UUUUUUUUUUAAAUAUUUAUAAACCCUUAUUCCCAAAGCCAACCCUCACAUUUCCAUCUCUGCGCAGCCUCAUCCCUCGCCGUUGCUGCACAUAGAGAAAUUGUUGAUUGAAUUUGGUGUUUUGUGAUGAGAUCUUAGCUGCUUAAAGGAAGUGUCGGGUUCAAGCCUUGAAAAUCCAGUCUCCAAUAGAAAUAUAAGUUGAUAAUACUGAGGCAGUGAAAUUCCAAUCUGUGAAGAACUCCGGAUUCGCUAUCUCUUUCUCUUCAACUUCGGCUAAGUAAAGGUAAGUUCAUUUCCCUCUAAUUUGUUAUAUUUCACUAUCGAUUAUAAGUUUACAUUGUAUUAUUGAAUUGUGUGAAUCUCACUUGUGUAUGGUCUUGUUUGAAAAAUGUUUAGCGAUGUGAAAAGUGUGAAGUAGUGAUUCAAAUUUAAUACACGACCGUGUCUGAUAAUAGGUAAGUCAAUAGCAGGAAUAUGGUAAACAGCAAACCCAAACAGACCCUUAUAGAAUCUUAGCAUUUCAGCAAUUCAGGAUUUAAAGUUUGUGGGUCCCACAAUCAAAAGGUCAACAAAAUUUUUACAAGUCCCUCUAGCCCACUAGACCAACAACACAAUCUAUAUAUGGAUUUUCAACUUAUAAUUCCCGUAUAUAUUGCUAGAUUACUCGAUAUAAAUACAAGAUUUGCGCAAAAGUUACUGGCCAGGAACCCGCACCCACCCCCUGGAUCCGGCCAUGCAUUUCAGCUUCAGUGUCCUGAACUGUAUAUAACAUCCUUCCAGCCUCAGCUUUAAGCACUGAAAUAUUAUUUGUACUAGCCCUGGCUUUCAUACCGUUGAAAAAGUACCUAUUGCUGCCAUCUCCAUCCUUUAUCCGGUGAGCUUUUGAUUUCUGCUUCAAUAUCUUCUCAUUAAUAGUCAGCCAUUUAUUAAGAUGUUGUAUUGCCAAUUUUUCUGUAUCAACCAAAACUGGAUCAAUUAAUGUGAAGAGUUGAGUCUGGAUAUCAUUAAGCCAAUUCCUAGAAUCAUUGCCUCUCUGUCCAAUACUUCCCAAUGCCUUAGUAUGUAGUUGCGUAAGUGGAGUUUGCACCAAAACUUAUACAUGCUGGACCCUUCAAUGUUCUGCCUCCAAACCUGAUCUAUAUUCUGCAAAAAUCUGUCGUCAUCAGCUAAGGCAUUCAGGAAUCUGAAUGGGCCUCUUCGAUUUGAAACAACCUCUGGAACCUCCAAGUGAAUUGGUGAAUGAUCUGAAGAGUGAUUUUCUAAGAAUUGAGCUGUAACAUGACCAUAGUGAAACAUCCAAAGAUCAUUACAAAGUGCCCUAUCUAUCUUGCUCCACUACGACCAUUAGACCAAGUAAAACAUCUGCCAGUAGACUUCAUAUCUGUUUCCGCAUCAACAAUUGGUUGACCCUCUUUAUAUCAAAUACAUCGCUUGAAGAUAGAAACAACAUUCUUUCUGCCAAUCACAAGCCUAACUUUGGGAAAUUGGAACCAAAAUCCUGCACCUACAAACAUCCAUAUAAGACUAACUUUCCAUCGACCAAACAACAUAUCAGCUAGGGCUCGUUUGGAUGGGGAGCAAGUUAUCCCGAGAUUAGUUAUUCCAGGAUUGUUAUUCCACCCUCAAUGUGGGAUAAAUAUAACAUUAAGGGCUCGUUUGGUUGGGGAACAAGUUAUUCCGGGAUUAGUUAUGCGGUAUUGUUAUUCCAUUCUCUAGAUGUGCUAGGGGUUAUGUAUACUAGGGGUUAAUUAGGCAAUGCCUAUGACUACUUUUGAUGUGCUGAAACAAUGGGAAGGAGUGGGGAGAAGAGGAUCUAAUGAAGACUGGUGGAAGAGCAUCCCAACGUGCAUUUGUUGGACAUUAUGGAGGGAAAGAAAUGAUAGACGUCAUGAAGGGAAAGCUAGCAGUAUCCAGAUGAUCAAGAUGAAGAGUUUGAGUUUACUGUAUUUUUGGUGUAAGCAUGAUUUGGUUGGGGAGGUAGAAAAAUCAGCAAAUUUCAUAGGGCAAUUGUAAAGUUUUAUCAAGGUUUUACUUUGAUGAUACCCCUAGGGGGUUGUAAAUACCACCUCUUUAGUUUUAUCUAAUGAGUUUUUGGUGUGAAUAUAAAGUUAUCUCUCUCAAAAAAGUAAAUUGGGUCUUCAAACGUCAAAUGAUCUCAAGAACUUUAUUUUGUAUCUUAAAAGUAAAAUUAUAUAUAUGUCUAUGUAUAUAUAUGUGUGUGCGCGCGCGCGCGUACACAUGUAUGUGUAUAUAUGCACACACACACAUAUAUAAUAAACAUACAUAUAUAUACGUGUGUGUGCGUGUGUAUAUAUAUAUAUAUGUAUGUAUGUAUGUAUGUAUUUUAUGUAUAUAUUUAACUUAAAACACAAGCAGCAACAUGUAGCCAACAACAAAAAUCUCAAACAUAAGCAGGCAUGAAAGAACAAGUAUUCAUCAAAAUUUGUUUUUAUGCAAUAAUUCAUUCAAUUAGCAGAAAAUUAGAAAAAGAUUCAUUCAUUCAUUCUAUUUUAAUGCAGAAAUAAUAGUAAAUAAAAAAUAAAGGGGAAGAAUUAUGUUAAUACAAAAUGGGUGAAAUGGAAGAAAUGAUGGAGAAGAACUUACCAUGACGGUAAAAAAAGGAGGAAAAAAAAGAGAAAAUGAAAAGGAGAAGAGAGGUUGAGCCGUCUGAGGUGAAUAUAAAGUGAAGAAGAAAAGAGUAAUUAACUUCGAUUUAGGGCUUUCCUACUGCCUAGGUAGUGUUUGGAAUUUAAAUUAUAACUUUAUAGGUGAUUGACCAUUUCGAUAGCCAUUCUGCUUUAAGAUUGUUGUAUACAAAAACUUAAAUUAUGAUAUUCCUAACAAAUAUUUCCACUUGACCGACUUUCAUUUGUUAUCAUGUGUCGAACAUGAAGCUAAGAAAGAGACAUGUGUCUAAACGACAUGAUUUGACAAUCGAGAAAAAAAUCUUUGAGAAAAGAAGCAAAAAUACCACAAUUAGCACCCUUUAUUCAAUAUCUUAUUUUUCUGCUCGAAUCGCUGUAAAGAAAGAAAGACAACAUCAUCUUCUUUGGUAUUAGUGAAAGAAAUUGGCUAACUUUUCUACUCUGAUAGCAUCUCUGAAUGACGGGGCAUUCACAUCUAUUCCUUUUAGCCCAGCAUCGGCAAUUCAACCCCACGAGUUUUUUAGCCAAAAUAGAAAGAGCAGAAAAAAAGGGGAUGAAUUGAUUGUGUAAUAUUUGUACUUUUCCAAAUUUGAACAAGACAACUCUACCAAUUUUAAUUAUGAGAAAAGAGUCAAAAGUGUCUCACACUUUCAUUAAUUAGCUAAGUUACCCUUUGUUAUACUAUAUGGUUAUUUAUAUCUUUGCCGUUAUGAGUCUCAUCACAUACACCCUUCAAAUUAACGUUUUCACCAAUCUUUAUGAAAUGAUCAAAUUUCAUUAAAAUUACUCAUUUAAAAUGAAUUCUCAAUUAGUGAAACUAGUCAUGUUUGUUGUAACUGAUUUAUGUGAUCAUAUGAUCAAAUUAUACUAAAUCAUUCUGAAUUAUGCUCAAUUUGGAUAAAUUGUGCUUAAUUCUUUAUAGGAAUUAAGUUAUGAUUUAUGACAAUAUUAUUCAUGCAUAAGUAUAAAGUUGUCUUGUUCAAAUCCGAAAAAAUACAAGUAUUAUACCAUCAAUUCAUCCUCCUUUUUUUUAUGUUCUUUAUUUUGGCAAAAAAGCGCGUCGGAUUGAAUCGCCGACGCUGGCUAAGAUGAGUAGAUAUGAAUAACCUACCAUUUAGAGAUGUUAUUAGAUUAAGAAAGUUAGCCAAUUUCUCUCACUAAGACUAGAGAAGAUGAGGUCAUCUUUCUUUCUAGCCAUUCGAGCAGGAAAUCAUACAUUGAAUAAAGGGUGCUAAUAAAUUAUGUUUUGUAGUUUUUUUUUUCUACUUUUCUCAAAGAUGUUUUGUUCUCUAUUAUCGCAUCAUGCCGUCUAGGCACAUGUUUCUUUCUUAGUUUUACGCUCGACUAAUGAUAAUGAAUGAAAGUCGGUCAAGCAAAAUAUUUGUUAGGAAUAUCAUCACAUAAGUUUUUGUAUGGAACAAUCUUAAUGCCGAUGCCUAUCAAAAUGGCCAAGCACCUAUAAAGUAAAGUAAUAAUUCA